GCCACUGAAUGGAGGCUCUCCAGGAUGGCGGGGCCACCGGGGCCCUGGAACCCUAAAUGACUGCAGGGAGCAGAGCUCUGCCUCCCCAUCAACCCACUUCAGAUUCGGCUAUGCCUGAAACGCAGAUGCAAGGGCUGGAGCUCUGCAGACACUGGGACCAGAGGUGACCUUGAGGAUGGAAGCCAUGUGUUGGGAAAAUGGAACAGAAAGAUGAGUGGAACUUGGACUAUGAAUGUCUCUUGCCAUACUUGGACUGUCUGCCUCCAGACAUCCUCUAAAAGAAGAUUUUUAAAAUAACAAUAUACCUUUGUCCCAUUUGAGCCACAACUGUUGAGUUUACUGAUCUAUACUGCCAAACCUAAUUCCACCAAUAUACCUCACGACCCAGCAAUUACGCUCUUCAGAAACUGCCCUAGAGAUGCUCACACAUGCACACAGAGGCACAAAGAUGUUCAGUGUUGCUUGGACUAGCAAAGACAAACAGACAAACGACAAUAUGUAUCUUCUCUAUGGCCACAUAUAUAUGAAUGUAAAUAAGUAGGAAAAGGCCUGGAAGGAAGCACAGCAAAUUGAUGAUGGUGGGUACGGCUGGGGAUGGCGGGGAGUCACAGGAAACCAUAUUCUUCCCCUCAGGAAGAUAUGUUCUUAUUACCUGUGAAGUUAAAACUUACACGUCAAGUUAAAAAGAUAAUAAAAUCCAAAGGGAGAAUAAAAGUAAACUUGAUACUGCAGAAACGUCACAGGCAUGACCUCAUCCAGGCUAUCAAGGUCGACAUCAACAGUGAUACAGUAUGUUGACGGAAUGUACCCAAGAUGCUCUGAAACUGGAACUUUCUCUCUGCGGUCCUCCUCCCAAAACCCAUCACCCCAGUCUAAUCAUGAGAAAAGCACCAGACCAAUCCCAGUAGAGGGUCAUCCUACAAAAUACCUGACCAGUGCUUCUCAAAAGUGUCACUGUCAUCAAAAUGAAGGAGAGAUGAGAGACUGUCACAGCCAAAAGGUGCCUAAGGAGACCGGAAGACCAAUGCGACACCUGGGAAACUGUGACCUGCCACGACGAAGGGGACCGUGCAGACAUGACUGCAUCAAGGCUCUCAGAUGGGGAGAGCGUCCUGGAAUAUCUAGAUUAUCUUCCUGCGGCCUCAUUAUCUUCGCCUAAUGGGAUUAUCAAGAGUACAGAGGCCAGAGAUUAAGCAGACAGCACUGGGCAGAUAAACCCUCAGCUGGCCCCACCCUCACACCCUCCCGCCAUCCCAGCACAGGGGACGGCACGUACUGAACCUGCAGGUGCUGACGUUCUGAAUUCCAGACUCCAGGCACGGGCAGAAGCCUUCGUUGGGUGGGUAGAUGGACCCGUUGGCAAACAGGGUUUUGGGAGCCACGAAGCGAUAGGUGGGGAUGCCUUCAAACACCCCUGACUCCUUGUACAUUAGCUUCAUGGAUCUGCAGGGGACAGACAGGAUGAGAGGGGACACCCAGACCCGGCGGCCAGAGCCAGGCCCUGCCAAAGGCUGCCCAGAUCCAGCCACUUCUCCCCACGGGCGCUACCACCUCCCGGGUCCAAACCGCCCCCAUCUCUCACCCGCGGAGCUGCAGCGACCUCCUAACAGGCCUCUCCGCUCCGACUCUGCCUCCCCACCCACAUCAAUGUAUUAGCCGUGGCCAGAUGGAGUUUUACAAAAGAACAGAGGCCAGGCAUUAUGGCUCACACCUGUAAUCCCAGCACUUUGGGAGGCCGAGGUGGGAGGAUCACUUGAGCCCAGGAGUGUGAGACCAGCCUGGGGAACAUAGUGAGACCCAGUCUCUAAAAAUAAAAUUGUUUUUGAAAGUUAUGAAAUUAAAAAAAGAACAGAAUAUAUCAUGCCCCUGCUGAAAAUCUGUGACCCUUUCUAGUCUAACCUACCAUUAGGAUUCAUUGACCUUAUCUAGCCCCUGCAUAAGCUCUGCUCAGCCCUGCCCCAACUUCCUGUGCCCAGGGCCUCCCUGCAGUUCCUAAGCACACUCACUCCUGCCCCAGGCCCUUUGCAUCACUGCUCCCUCUGCCUAAGAACAGUCUCCUCUGGCAUCUUCAUCCACCAGACUUCAGCCCUUCAGUCAGAUCUCAGUUCAGCUGUCACUUCCUCGGGUGGCAGCACCGUCCCCCACACCCACCCCAUCCACCCUCCAUCCAUUCAUGCUCCUGUACUUUCUCAAAAGCACUUCUGAACUUGAACAUGCACUGUGCUACCCACUCUGUCCACGGCAGCCACUCAGCACGCAUGGCUGUCCAUCCCGCCCUUGACAUGGGGUGAGUCCAAAUUGGGAUG
ensembl:lncRNA novel transcript, antisense to SCARB1